rnacentral:lncRNA from 1 species
UACGAAAGCUCUAUUCUGGAAAACAGUCAGCCUUUACUUAUUGCAAUAGUGAAUGGAAUCUCACAAACUUUAUUCUCACGCUUUGUCUAAUGUGAACCUCUGUUACUGUUUUGAAUCAUAGUUCUCAAUUUUGAACCAUAUGGACUAUCAUUUUCUUCAUCUGGCUUCACUGGACGACAGUCUCCUGCUGGCGUUUCUCUGGGCUCAGAUAUAUCUGGAAACAGUGCUGAAACAGGGCUGAAAGAGGCAGGUAGCCUGAAGAUGGACGGCAUAAAGAAAUUAUGGGGUAAAGAAGGUUAUCUCCCCAAGAAGGAGAGUGGAGCUGCUGAUAAACUGGAAGCCGCACAUGCUCCUGCAGAGAGUGCAAUGAU